CUGAAUUAGAGGUUGGAGAAGAUGACACUACCGAUGACAUCACAUACAGUGACGUCAAAAUAUUGCGUCACCAGCCACAGCCAAUCAGACGGAGUAAAGAGAGUGAUCCAGCUGCAGUUUACUCAGCAGUGAAAACAGCAGAAGACGUCAGUUAUGGACAAAUCGUCAUUAAAUCAAACAGGACACGAGAGAGAGAUCCAGCUGCUGUUUACUCAGCAGUGAAAAGAACAGAAGACGUCAGUUAUGGACAAAUAGUCGUCAAAUCAAACAAGAGGAGAGCGUGUCCACCAGAGCCAGAGGUUGUCUACUCUUCACUGAGGUAGACCUCCACACCUUCACACCAGUCCAACCACUGACGUCCAGCUGGCCUGUUACUGGUCCCCAGAGCCCAUCAGGCAGUAGUACAUUCAUUUUUUAAACAUAUUUUAUAUAUUUCAUCUUGUUCUCUCUAAAUUAGACUCAUGCAGCAACAGAAAGACAAACAAUAGAUUCAUUUUCAGAUGUGUUUUUAGUGAAUAAACAGUGAAAUGUAAAAAUUAAAAUAAUACAUUUGUUGAAAUAUAUUAGGUCUAUCUAAUAUAAUAAUGAUAUAUUAACUUUAACACAGCCACAUGUUCAAUGAGAUGUUUCUGAUCUAAUGAUGACAGUUGUUUUGUGUUUAAUGUCCUCGUUAACUUUACUGUUAUUUAUAUAUAUAAUAUAUAAUAU